rnacentral:rRNA from 1 species
UACAGGGGGUGCAAACGUUGCUCGGAAUCAUUGGGCGUAAAGCGCGCGUAGGCGGUUACUUAAGUCGGAUGUGAAAGCCCUUGGCUCAACUGAGGAAGUGCAUCCGAAACUGAGCAGCUUGAGUACGAAAGAGGGUCGCGGAAUUCCCGGAGUAGAGGUGAAAUUCGUAGAUAUCGGGAGGAACACCGGUGGCGAAGGCGGCGACCUGGGUCGAUACUGACGCUGAGGCGCGAAAGCGUGGGGAGCAAACAGG